ACUCAUCCGAAGGGACUACUCAAAUUCCCCUUCAAGAAAUCAUUGAUGAUGCAGAUUCAAGUUUUCUGAUGCA